AUUGUAGUUGCUGGAAUUGAGGACCCCUUUCUCCUUCCUGGUUGUCACACCAGCUCUUUCUUCUUUCUAACCAUAUAAUUUUUAAAAAUUCUCAUAUUUCUUUUUCAACAGGUUUAGACCACAACCGAUUUCCAUUAGAAUUAUGCUGUCCCUUCGUCUCACACGCAGACAUCUGCCAUCUUUUCAAUUGUUCGAACUGUUCAAGAAAUUCUUGAUCUCUCACCACGUCCAUAGGUUUGAUUUAAGAUACAGCCAACCAGAAAUGAGCCAACAAAUUGGAGGUCCUCUCCAUGGAAGCACAUCUGGCUUCGGGUCCCGCAUUAAUUUAGGCUUAGCAAGGUGGAAAAAAUGGAACCAGGGUCCGGGUCAUCGUGGAGGACCACCGGGUAUUUCGUGUGCCAACAUCUUGAUUAUUCAUGUCAUGGGCUCAUGGCUUGUGUGGUUUGGAACCCGAGGGAGAAGAAAGUCUUGUCAAUAAAAAGGGUUUACAUUAGGAUUGAAAUUUGAAAGAGAAAAAGCCUCAGGUACUUCUUUCUAAGAACUGCACAAACGGUGAAAAGAAUACUAGUUUUUAAUGUUGUUUUCCCCUCGAACUUACAUAUCUUGAUGCAUUUUCUGAUUACAAAUUGCCAAACUGUAACCUGAGCAGGGUGGGUUUUUUUUCUUUUCCAUGAACAUCUUGACCAUAGUUGGACAUAAUAGGCUGUUUGCCACCAUUAUGUUCUGUA